CCUACGGGAGGCAGCAGUGAGGAAUAUUGGUCAAUGGACGGAAGUCUGAACCAGCCAUGCCGCGUGCAGGAAGACGGCUCUAUGAGUUGUAAACUGCUUUUGUACAAGGGUAAACCUGAAUACGUGUAUUCAGACGAAAGUACUGUACGAAUAAGGAUCGGCUAACUCCGUGACAGCAGCCGCGGUAAUACGGAGGAUCCAAGCGUUAUCCGGAUUUAUUGGGUUUAAAGGGUGCGUAGGCGGAUUGAUAAGUUAGAGGUGAAAUGUCCGAGCUUAACUCGGGAACUGCCUCUAAUACUGUUGAUCUAGAGAAUAGAUGCGGUAGGCGGAAUGUAUGGUGUAGCGGUGAAAUGCUUAGAGAUCAUACAGAACACCGAUUGCGAAGGCAGCUUACCAAUCUAUAUCUGACGUUGAGGCACGAAAGCGUGGGGAGCAAACAGGAUUAGAUACCCUGGUAGUC
rnacentral:rRNA from 1 species